AUCACUUUUUUUUUUUUGAGACAGUCUCGCUCUGUCGCCAGGCUGGAGUGCAGUGGCGCGAUCUCGGCUCACUGCAACCUCCGACUCGCGGGCUCAAGCGAUUCUCCUGCCUCAGCCUCCCGAGUAGUUGGGAUUACAAGGCGCCCGCCACCACGCUCGGCAUAAUUUUGUAUUUUUAGUAGGGACAGGGUUUCGCCUGUUGGCCAGGCUGGUCACGAACCCUUUACCUCAGGUGUUCCGCCCGCCUUGGCCUCCCAAAGGGCUGAGAUUACAGGCGUGAUCCACCGUGCCCGGCCGGCAUCACUUAUUUAUAUUAUGUGUCACCUAUAGGACUUAUCUAAGACCAUAAUCACUGCCGCGUGUGCUAACCCCCGCGCGCGUGCAUUCAGGCCCCUCUGGAUAGACACUGGGGACCCCUGACCACUUAUGUCUGGGAAAACGCCACCAAGCGCUCCGGAACCUCAGGGCAGGACCCGCCGCAGCAGCAGUUGUUUUGGAGAAUCAUGUAGUGACAGAUGAAGAUGAACCUGCUUUGAAACGCCAGCGACUAGAAAUCAAUUGCCAGGAUCCAUCUAUAAAGUCAUUCCUGUAUUCCAUCAACCAGACAAUCUGCUUGCGGUUGGAUAGCAUUGAAGCCAAAUUGCAAGCCCUGGAGGCUACUUGUAAAUCCUUAGAAGAAAAGCUGGAUCUGGUCACGAACAAGCAGCACAGCCCCAUCCAGGUUCCCAUGGUGGCCGGCUCCCCUCUCGGGGCAA
rnacentral:sRNA from 1 species